GUCCCUUCGGGGACCUCCGAUAAAAUUGAAACGAUAUAGAGAAGAUUAGCAUGAUCCCUGCGCAAAUUAAGACACGCACAAAUCGAGAAAUAAUCUAAAUUUUU